UAAAUAAAUAAAUAAAAGAAAGAAAAAUCAGUCUAGAAACAGGAUUGUAAAAUAAAAAAAAAGCUGACCAGUAAUAACUAAAUGCGAAAAUACAGAUUAAUUAAGGAGAUGAGGGGCGGUAGCGAAAUUAGCCCCCAGAAAUUACAACAUAGCUCAUCUCAUAGGACUGAAACGAAGACGAAGAAGGAGAAAGAGGACGGAAGAGGGAUACAUUGUGCCCCGGAUCACUUAAAGGAGAAACAAGGAAGGGAAAUGAUGAUGAUGGACUAGAUGAUAGACAAGCGAAGGAGGAAGAUUACGGGAAAGAAGAAUGAAGAAAACAACAACAACAUUGCCAAAGUUUGACUGUCAACGUGCUGUGGCUGGAAGUUUGUGAGUCAUUAUAAUGGUUGAAUGACACUCGAUGCCGAACACGAGGUAGGAGUCUCUGCUACGCUUGGUUGCCUCGUUAUUUUCUGAAGAAGUUGGCUUCGUGCGUAGCGCCGUGUGUGUGAUUCCGGGCCAACACCUGACGCUUCCUCGCACUCCACGUUCACGG